rnacentral:lncRNA from 1 species
AGUCCAUGAAAACCAUGAUACAUGCAUACAUGUUCAUCCCAUGCAAUAAAUGAUGUUGUAAUAAACAAAAAUGUAAAAUAAAGCAUGGACUCUUAUCAUAUACACCAUGCCUAGUUUGUCAUAGGAUGAACCUUCCACUUUCAUUAAUAUGUCUUUCACCCAUAUCCUGUAAAUUGUACCACUUAUCAUAGUUAAAUGGUUAAUGGAUAAAAAGUAUUACGGUUUCUUCUCA